GGGUCAGUAGGUUGGUCGUGCCACCGGUACGUACUGGUCUCACUGAUUCCUCCUUCCUGAAGAACCGUAAUGCCAUUAAUUUGGUGUUGCGGGGAAGCAGGACUGUUACUUUGAAAAAAUUAGAGUGUUUAAAGCAAGCUAUCGCUUGAAUACAUUAGCAUGGAAUAAUGAAAUAGGACGAUCGAUCCUAUUUUGUUGGUUUCUAGGAUUGACGUA
rnacentral:rRNA from 1 species